rnacentral:rRNA from 1 species
GUAAGCUGUCGCUAAAGGAUGGACCCGCGGUGCAUUAGCUAGUUGGUAAGGUAACGGCUUACCAAGGCGACGAUGCAUAGCCGAGUUGAGAGACUGAUCGGCCACAUUGGGACUGAGACACGGCCCAAACUCCUACGGGAGGCAGCAGUAGGGAAUCUUCCACAAUGGGCGAAAGCCUGAUGGAGCAACGCCGCGUGAGUGAAGAAGGUUUUCGGAUCGUAAAGCUCUGUUGUUGGUGAAGAAGGAUAGAGGUAGUAACUGGCCCCUAUUUGACGGUAAUCAACCAGAAAGUCACGGCUAACUACGUGCCAGCAGCCGCGGUAAUACGUAGGUGGCAAGCGUUGUCCGGAUUUAUUGGGCGUAAAGCGAGCGCAGGCGGAAAGAUAAGUCUGAUGUGAAAGCCCCCGGCUUAACCGAGGAAUUGCAUCGGAAACUGUGUUUCUUGAGUGCAGAAGAGGAGAGUGGGACUCCAUGUGUAGCGGUGGAAUGCGUAGAUAUAUGGAAGAACACCAGUGGCGAAGGCGGCUCUCUGGUCUGUAACUGACGCUGAGGCUCGAAAGCAUGGGUAGCGAACAGGAUUAGAUACCCUGGUAGUCCAUGCCGUAAACGAUGAGUGCUAAGUGUUGGGAGGUUUCCGCCUCUCA